rnacentral:misc_RNA from 1 species
UCCGGUUUGUCACCGGCAGUCUGGCGUGAGUCCCCAACUUAAUGCUGGCAACACGCGACAAGGGUUGCGCUCGUUGCGGGACUUAACCCAACAUCUCACGACACGAGCUGACGACAGCCAUGCAGCAUCUGUGGUGCACCCUCGAAGGUCACACGUUUCCGUGCGCUUGCAGCACCAUGUCAAGCCCAGGUAAGGUGGGGAUGACGUGAGGAUAG